rnacentral:rRNA from 1 species
AAAUUGAAGAGUUUGAUCAUGGCUCAGAUUGAACGCUGGCGGCAGGCCUAACACAUGCAAGUCGAACGGUAACAGGAAACAGCUUGCUGUUUCGCUGACGAGUGGCGGACGGGUGAGUAAUGUCUGGGAAACUGCCUGAUGGAGGGGGAUAACUACUGGAAACGGUAGCUAAUACCGCAUAACGUCGCAAGACCAAAGAGGGGGACCUUCGGGCCUCUUGCCAUCGGAUGUGCCCAGAUGGGAUUAGCUUGUUGGUGGGGUAAAGGCUCACCAAGGCGACGAUCCCUAGCUGGUCUGAGAGGAUGACCAGCCACACUGGAACUGAGACACGGUCCAGACUCCUACGGGAGGCAGCAGUGGGGAAUAUUGCACAAUGGGCGCAAGCCUGAUGCAGCCAUGC